rnacentral:sRNA from 1 species
GCCCUCGGUGUCGGUGUUGUCGCUGCCUGUCGUAUUCCCGUGAUCCCCUUCUCCCUGUCGCCAGCUGUUCUGCAUCUUGCGGAGCGCCCGCUUCCUGUGGGACCCGCAGUGUGAGCAGGUUGUGAGCAGGUGCGUGAGCCUAAGGGUCAGCCCUUUGCCACUGCCUCUCCUUGCCUCAGGGAGCAUCGUCUUUGGUUGGAGCGGUGUGAUUCUGAGACAAGGAACAGGAGAGAGGGAAGUAGAAGUACUCUGGGAGCAGAGGAGCCCUCCCCGCCUGCUCAUCUGAACUCGGACCUGGAGCCACAGAAUCUGAAAAUCUGGCGUUGUGGAUGGGCGGUCUAAGGCCCUCCUGGAUCCAGGCUUCUGAAAGCCGCUCUUCCCUCAUGGCCGCCCAUAUCCUCACCUGCCGUCUGAGGACGGUGGUGCAGGGUAGGUGCAGCAGGACAAUCCACGGGCUGUAGGCAGCUAGAGUCCUCCGUGAACUGCGUGCCCCAGCCUGAGAUGGGCGUGGGGACCUGCUAGCCCUGACCAGCCAGUGUAGCUGUUAGACAGGUGCUGCUGCCUAGUCUUCGAGAGGAGUUGAAGCAAAAGCUGAGUGGGAAGGCUGGGAGACCUACAAAGAGCAGAGCCCAACCAGCCCCGUCUUUCGUGGCUUACUGCCCUUCUGUUGCUCCUGUGGGGACAGUGACCUUGGACCAUACUUCUAAAAGCAGCAGUCAGGAGUCCUCUUUGGCCUGGGUGGGGUUGGGAGUGGCAUUGCUAGGGACUGUGCCUUGCUGGGUUUCCAGGAUGGCAAAGAGGGGUCCACGGCUUUGCAGUUACUCCAGGAAGGAGAUCACAAGGCCUCCAUAGUGGAGUUUGUUCCCCAAACAGUAAAAAUACAGAUCAUGGUGUUUUCUUAAAAGUGUUAAUAAAAUGGGAAGCUCUUGCCCAUAAAUCUGAGGUAGAAAUCAAUCGGAUAGCUGAAAAAACCCCAGUACUCCAGAGUGGAGAAGAGGUUAGAGGGAGCCAUGGAAAACACUGGUCCCUGGACACAUAACAGAGGGCAAUGAGCUGGGCUGCAGGACAACCACCUGCUGACAGUCGGUACAAGCAGCAGGAUUAGGCUGCUCACGCCAUUUUACUAUGAAAUUUCCCACAGAGGAUGGAUGAACACAUGCAAGAACUAACUCCUGGAGAGCCAAGGGCUUAGGACUGGUGUCACGAUAAUAGUGUCUAAGAAAAAAGGAGACAGGGCCGGAGAGAUGGCUCAGUGGUUAAGAGUGCUGACUGCUCUUCCAGAGGCCCCGAGUUCAAUUCCC